GAAGGAUUCCUGCCUAAAAGCCCUCCAGGCGCUCCCUCUCCAAUGUGAGCUAAAUCAGAAUCACUGGUGUUAACACAUAAAGAAGGGUUUGAGGCCAUUGGUUUCCCGCCAGAGCGGGCACUCUGGUCCCUCAUCGAGAAAUAUAUACGACACUGCAAUUUUUCUCGCAAUGCAAUAUAGAUCUAUGUUUGCCCCCCCAAAAAUGUCCCAUACCUGGGUGUAGUCUCCACUCCUGAGAGAGAGGGUCCCAUCUGGAUUAAAUAUCUGCACCCGAGUUGAGUCAACUGGGGACAUGUGUAGCCCAAAGCGAGAGCAUGUGCGCACUGCUCCCCAGCAAUAGGGAGCUAGCCGAGGUUAGGAGGGAGCAAGACAGCGCGUAUCCAAAUACCCAUAUUACCCAUGCAACAAAAAAAAGUUUUAUAGUAUGUGACAUUUCGAAAAUGUAGUAUACAUUAAAUGCCAUGACGUCAUAUGUUAGUGUUCAAAUACUGGAGAGUUGAGACCAAAUCACGGACGCUGGACAGAGUGGAUUUCAGUUGUAACAAAAGACAGUUUUAAUGAGUCAGAGAUAUCUUGUCCCGCAGUUUUACGUGCACGGACCUAGUUCACAUGACUCGGCAAGGAGCCAGGUGAAAAAGAGGCCUAUACAAUGGUUACACACAUUUUUAUACAUAGAAUAAAGUAGGUGGAGUCUUGUCGUUUCGGUCUUCUUGACUGGUCGGAGGGUUGGAGGCGGGCCUUGCUCUAGCCAGAGCGGGCCCCAUUGGUGCACAGCAAAAGUUCUUUGCUCUUGGGACCGGCCAGUUAGAGGGAGAUGAGAUGUGUGUUUAUAUAAGGAAGAGGGGGUCAGUCUUCUGGCUGGGUGUAUGUGUUCUUACGACGGAAUGUCUUUGUUUAUAUGAGCUAUGUGUAUGAAUAUUUAUAUAACAAAUCCCCCUCUUCACUCUAUUAGACGUGAAACUUAUAGCAGAAAGGUGGCGGUUGCAAUCGUGGGUAUACAUAAGGUGGUGCUCCUAACCUUGUCUGAUUUGCAUGGUGGGUCUGUAGGUGUAGUGCUACGUUUGGGACGGGAGUGAUUGGAGGGAGUGAUAUCAGGAAAGGAGUUAGGGACAUGUGUAGGGGUUGGUGUAUGUGAUGUGGCAGGGUGAAAUAGUUGUUCAAUUAACCAUGUGAAAGUCCUAGGGUUACUCCAAAUAUCAGUAUGAAUAUCACAAAUAAGGGACCAGAUAUCCCCAGCCUCACCCAGAGAGGGAGAAAUUUCCCUCUAACUGGGCGAGGUUCCCUUCUCAGGGGAGGCGGAGUUUGAUGCCGCAUCACCUGAGGAAGGAGUGUCUUCAUUUGGAAUCGAAUUUAGGCCGCUCAAAUCAGCUCUGACUUCAGUCAGUGUUCUAGAAGGAAUUGGGGCUGGGGUGCAAUGUGUAAG
rnacentral:lncRNA from 13 species